AGUUAAACAGUACGUGAAAUUGUUGAAAGGGAAACGAUUGAAGCCAGUCGUACCUUCGGGUAAUCAGCCUUUUGGGUGUGAUUUUGUGGAGCGUGAAGAGUUAAACGCCUUCAUGCCUGCAUAUUCGUGCACUUUGGGUGUACUUGCCCGUAUGGUUGGUUAACAUCAAUUUUGGUGGUCAUAAAAUGACUGGAGGAAUGUAGCUUCGAUCUUGUAUUGAAGUGUUAUAGCCUUCGGUAGAUGUGAUGAUCGAGAUUGAGGAUUGCAACGGAUACCCUUCGGGGCUACCUGUCUGGUCUCUGAUCGUUGUUCUGGUGCCGAAAGCUUGCUUACGGUUAUCAAAGUCGAUGGUCAAUAGGUUAGAACGGGUUAAAUUCGUUAAGGAUGUUGACGUAAUGGCUUUAAA
rnacentral:misc_RNA from 1 species